CCUACGGGUGGCAGCAGUGGGGAAUAUUGCACAAUGGGGGAAACCCUGAUGCAGCGACGCCGCGUGAGCGAUGAAGUCCCUCGGUAUGUAAAGCUCUAUCAGUAGGGAAGUAAAUGACGGUACCUGACUAAGAAGCCCUGGCUCACUACGUGCCAGCAGCCGCGGUACCACGGAGGGGGCCAGCGUUAUCCGGAUUUACUGGGCGUUAAGGGAGCGUAGACGGGUGUGCAAGCCAGUUGUGAAAGCCCGGGGCUCAACCCCGGGACUGCAUUUGAAACUGUGUGGCUGGAGUGUCGGAGAGGCAGGCGGAAUUCGUGGUGUAGCGGUGAAAUGCGUAGAUAUUACGAGGAACGCCGAUGGCGAAGGCAGCCUACUGGACGGUGACUGACAUUGAGGCUCGAAAGCGUGGGUAGCAAACAGGAUUAGAUACCCCGGUAGUC
rnacentral:rRNA from 1 species